rnacentral:rRNA from 1 species
GCACAAGCGGUGGAGCAUGUGGUUUAAUUCGACGCAACGCGAAGAACCUUACCUGGGCUUGACAUGUUGGUGACCGCCGUGGAAACACGGUUUUCCUUCGGGACACCAUCACAGGUGGUGCAUGGCUGUCGUCAGCUCGUGUCGUGAGAUGUUGGGUUAAGUCCCGCAACGAGCGCAACCCCCGUCCUUAGUUGCUACCAUUUAGUUGAGCACUCUAAGGAGACUGCCGGUGAUAAGCCGCGAGGAAGGUGGGGAUGACGUCAAGUCCUCAUGGCCCUUACGGGCUGGGCUACACACGUGCUACAAUGGCGGUGACAAUGGGAUGCUAAGGGGCGACCCUUCGCAAAUCUCAAAAAGCCGUCUCAGUUCGGAUUGGGCUCUGCAACUCGAGCCCAUGAAGUUGGAAUCGCUAGUAAUCGUGGAUCAGCACGCCACGGUGAAUACGUUCCCGGGC